GCAGACAUAGUACAUCGGUAGUAUAUCAGCUUCCCAAGCUGAGGAGGCGGGUUCGAUUCCCGUUGUCUGCUUA
rnacentral:tRNA from 1 species